rnacentral:tRNA from 10 species
UGCAUUAUGAUGUAAUUGGUAACAUACAAGGCUCAUGUCCUUUUUAUAUACGUUCAAAUCGUGUUGAUGCAU